rnacentral:rRNA from 1 species
AAAUAGUGUUGGUCUCGCAUUGUAAAUUGAUGGAACGUUACCUAGUGUUAAGCCUUUCGGUCAAAGUCUCUUGGAACAGAGCGUCAAAGAGGGUGAUAACCCCGUGGAUGGCCGAAUGACAUACCAGCUUAAUACGUUGCGGUGCGUUUCCUUAGAGUCGGAAUGUUUGGGAUUGCAUUCCAAAGUGGGUGGUAAACUCCAUCUAAGGCUAAAUACUGGCGAGAGACCGAUAGCGAACAAGUACCGUGAGGGAAAGUUGAAAAGCACUCUGGAGAGAGAGUCAAACAGUACGUGAAAUUGCUAGCAGGGAAACGUUGGGCACCAGUACGCGGCAAUCAACGUCAAUGAUCAGUCGGGCGUAGUUGGAAGCAAGGCGUGUUGUUAACACUUUAAAGACUAUCCCAGGAUGGCUUACAUGUCUUGUGUAUUCAAUUGCACCGGUGCACUCUUUGGCGGCCGGGUCAACAUCGGUCAACGACGCUCGACAAGUCUUUAGACAAGGUAGCAUUAGUAGGCCUUGCGGCUUACCUUUGAACUUAUAGGUCUAAUGUACGAGAGCGUUGUUAACCGAGGCGGCAUAGCGACUCGCGCGUUUCGGCGCAGGGCGUACUGGCCAGGUCAAGGUCGUCCGUGGUGUUAAGCAGCAUGCUGAUUGACAUUCAUUUUGUCAAGUUUACUUGACAGUGGUGAUCGCCUGGCUAGUAC